rnacentral:rRNA from 1 species
UACGUAGGGUGCGAGCGUUACUCGGAAUUACUGGGCGUAAAGCGUGCGUAGGCGGUUCUCCAAGUCCGUUGUGAAAGCCCCGGGCUCAACCUGGGAAUGGCAGUGGAAACUAGGGGACUGGAAUCUGGCAGAGGGGGGUGGAAUGCCGCGUGUAGCAGUGAAAUGCGUAGAGAUGCGGCGGAACACCGAUGGCGAAGGCAGCCCCCUGGGCUGAGAUUGACGCUCAGGCACGAAAGCGUGGGGAGCAAACAGG